rnacentral:rRNA from 1 species
UACGAAGGGGGCUAGCGUUGUUCGGAAUCACUGGGCGUAAAGGGCGCGUAGGCGGCCGAUCAAGUCGGGGGUGAAAGCCUGUGGCUCAACCACAGAAUUGCCUUCGAUACUGGUUGGCUUGAGACCGGAAGAGGUAAGUGGAACUGCGAGUGUAGAGGUGAAAUUCGUAGAUAUUCGCAAGAACACCAGUGGCGAAGGCGGCUUACUGGUCCGGUUCUGACGCUGAGGUGCGAAAGCGUGGGGAGCAAACAGG